UACGAAGGGGGCUAGCGUUGCUCGGAAUCACUGGGCGUAAAGCGCACGUAGGCGGCUUUCUAAGUCAGGGGUGAAAUCCUGGAGCUCAACUCCAGAACUGCCUUUGAUACUGGGAAGCUCGAGUCCGGAAGAGGUGAGUGGAACUCCGAGUGUAGAGGUGAAAUUCGUAGAUAUUCGGAAGAACACCAGUGGCGAAGGCGGCUCACUGGACGACUGUUGACGCUGAGGUGCGAAAGCGUGGGGAGCAAACAGG
rnacentral:rRNA from 1 species